rnacentral:rRNA from 1 species
UACGUAGGGUGCAAGCGUUGUCCGGAAUUAUUGGGCGUAAAGAGCUCGUAGGCGGUUCGUCGCGUCGGCUGUGAAGUCCCGAGGCUUAACCUCGGGUCUGCAGUCGAUACGGGCUAGCUAGAGUGUGGUAGGGGAGAUCGGAAUUCCUGGUGUAGCGGUGAAAUGCGCAGAUAUCAGGAGGAACACCGGUGGCGAAGGCGGAUCUCUGGGCCAUUACUGACGCUGAGGAGCGAAAGCGUGGGGAGCGAACAGG